rnacentral:rRNA from 1 species
UACGUAGGGGGCUAGCGUUGUCCGGAUUUAUUGGGCGUAAAGAGCGUAUAGGCGGCCAGGUAGGUCUGCUGUGAAAACUCGAGGCUCAACCUCGAGACGUCGGCGGAAACCAUCUGGCUAGAGUCCGGAAGAGGAGAGUGGAAUUCCUGGUGUAGCGGUGAAAUGCGCAGAUAUCAGGAAGAACACCCGUGGCGAAGGCGGCUCUCUGGGACGGUACUGACGCUGAGACGCGAAAGCGUGGGGAGCGAACAGG